UACAGAGGUCCCGAGCGUUGUUCGGAUUCACUGGGCGUAAAGGGUCCGUAGGUGGUGAGGUAAGUCGGAUGUGAAAUCUCCAAGCUCAACUUGGAAACUGCAUUGGAAACUACCUUGCUAGAGGAUUUGAGGGGGGAUUGGAAUACUUGGUGUAGCAGUGAAAUGCGUAGAUAUCAAGUGGAACACCAGUGGCGAAGGCGAAUCUCUGGAAAAUACCUGACACUGAGGCACGAAAGCUAGGGGAGCAAACAGG
rnacentral:rRNA from 1 species